rnacentral:rRNA from 1 species
UAUGCAUAGGUUAUGUGCCCCAUAGUCUGGGAUAGCCACUGGAAACGGUGAUUAAUACCGGAUACUCCUUACGAGGGAAAGUUUUUCGCUAUGGGAUCAGCCUAUGUCCUAUCAGCUUGUUGGUGAGGUAAUGGCUCACCAAGGCUAUGACGGGUAUCCGGCCUGAGAGGGUGAACGGACACACUGGAACUGAGACACGGUCCAGACUCCUACGGGAGGCAGCAGUAGGGAAUAUUGCUCAAUGGGCGAAAGCCUGAAGCAGCAACGCCGCGUGGAGGAUGAAGGUUUUAGGAUUGUAAACUCCUUUUGUUAGAGAAGAUUAUGACGGUAUCUCCG